GGGCGCGUAGCUCAGCUGGGAGAGCGCAUGGGUCACAACCAUGAUGUCGGCGGUUCAAGCCCGUCCGCGCCCA
rnacentral:tRNA from 1 species